CUCAAAACUUUGUUCAUCUUUUCUUCUGUUUUACGCUGUUGUUGUGAAUAUUUUUUGAAGUAAUGUUAUCCAAUGUUUCAUUUACAGAUUUUACUACUUUUUUGAGUGAAAUGUUGAAAUUGAAAUGGGAUUUUUUAUAGUGUUGAAAAUUUGAUGACCCAGUAACCCUGUUUUGUUCUUGAAGUAAUAAUAGUAUCUUCUUCUUAUAUUCUUAUCUUGUAUUCGAAACAAUGAAAUUUCAAUUUAGUAUCUGAGCUAUAGAAAUAUAAGAAAUAGUCUCUGAACUAUUAUCACAAUCCAUUAUGUUAAUCCCUCUGUUUUUUUUUAAAAUAUGAGAGAUAAUGAUAGUUUAGGGACUAUGUAUUGUUUAUCUAUGAAGUACCCACACCUCCGCUCAUUUUUCAAAGCUUCGUGACUCGCCGGUUUUUGCUGCAAACACCCUCACUGCUAAUUCCGUUCCCGUAUGUAUUUUUUUCUUUAUCCUCACAUAAAUUUGGUGCAGUUGAUGACUUGGGAGUUAGGAACGUAUAUGUUUUCAGUUAUUAUAUGGUUAGUAUUUUAAAUAUAUUUAUUUAGAUUAUUGUGGAUUGGAUUUAGUUUCCUACGUUUUUAUGCUUAUUUGCUGAUUGUGAAGUUUACGAUUUAGUUUCCUAUGUAUAAUAUUGUAGUAAGUAGGCCCUUGAAUUUUGAUGAGUUCCAAUAAUGUUUAAGGAGUAGCCUCUGAAAUAGGAAGAUUUGUGUGUAUAAUUAUGAGAUGGUUUUAUUUGAGAUUGUUGGUGGAAGAAAAACAUGUGAAAGUAAGUGAAAAUCAUGGAAGUUGCUGUUCAUAAGUUGUCGAUUUUCUAUGGAUUGGUGAUGCGCAAAGUGUUGUGAUUCUCCUCGGCUAUAACAUUAUUUUGGUUCCUAUAAGUGUAAUUUGCUAUCACAAUUCAAUCCUCUAUUGUUUUCUCGAUUGGCUACUUUAGUCUCUGAUGCUAGCUACAAUGACCUUUACUAUUGAGAAAAUCAGUUUGAAAAAACCAAAAAUCAUCCUCUUCAAACUUCUUCAAACAAUAGUAUUUUUUGUUUUAAAAAAGGAAAGAAACAAACAUCACAUUUUUGAGCUUUUAGUUGUGGUGAAAUCCCACCACUGAGAUUGGAAAACUUGCAAAAGUUGCUAUAGAGAAGAAGCUUAAUAUUCCCAUUAGAACAAUAACUUAUGAGCGUCGCAAUGAUUUAAAGCUGAAUUUAGCCAAGAAUCUGCAUCUUCACUGCUAUCAGCUCUCCAUUUGACAUCUAUUCUCAUCCUUAUACACAACACCGGAACAACCUUUUCCAAUCACAUUUUCAUCUUUCAAGCAAUCCAAGAUAUAUUAUGCUGAAAUUCAAUUUCUGAAAUGGGAUGAAAGUCCAAGGGGUAUUGUUCUAAGAGUUGUAAUACAUCAUGGAUCCUUUGUUGUGGUCACAUGGUUUAACAUUAAGAAGAAGCCGGUAGCUAUGAAAGUGCAGCGAGAAUGAAAAAGAAAAGGUGGCUCGGAGCAUUCAUCUAGUGACUUAUAUUUUGAUGAAGAACAUAAAAUCUGAUUGGUUGGGGAAAACAAGUCCAAAAGAAAAGCUUACUAUAUUGCAACUUGGAACCAAAGACCAACGGGAGGUGUAUGGUUGUUUGAAAAUGGAAAACAAAGAAUAAGGGUUUGGCCUAAUAUCUGGCCCAAUAGUAACGAUGGCGAUACCUUCUUCGUUGGUGGGAAAAACGUGGCCAAAACCAUGGGUUUUCUAUCUGGUGGAACCCCUAGGGGAGUACGUUGUAGAUUGUGCCGAAUAUUUACGAAUUUUACCACCUAGUGGUAGUGAAGAGGAAUCGGUCGGGGAAAAUGGAAUUGAGGUGGUACGUGAUGAAAGGGGUUAUUAUCAUUUUGAAAAGAAAGUGACAAAGGCCAUGUCCCGUGCUAGUAUUCUGCAGACUCUGCAAUUUCCAAAGGAAAUUGCUAAUUUAUUACGCAGUGACCAGUCAACGAUGAUCAUGUACGAUUAUGAGCGCUUCAGGAAAUAUGAGUGCACAAUUAUGACCUUUGGAAAUGACAAAUUUCUUGGACAUGGUUGGUCGAAGUAUGUUGCAGACAAUAACGUGGAAGAAGGGGACAAGUUAUGUUUUCUUUUGGAAAAUCCUGAGACUCUUCAUUGUCAGCAUGUCAGCAGAAAACUUUUUUUGUUGGGAGCGAUCGAACCGAGAUGAAGUUACCUAGGAUGUCAACCACACUUUCUGGGAGCACACUUUUUGUAUGUAGAUUAAUUGCAAUCUAGGUUGUUUUAUGCAUGUUGUGAAGACAAUUGAUCCUAUGAUGUAGAAUGCAUAUUAAGAGCAUCAUAUAUUUUUGUAAUCUGUGGUAAUGCUAAUAGUGUCCUUAAUGCUAAUUUUGGUAACGCAUAAUUAUUAUAAGAUGUUAUGUUUGGGAAUUGUAGAAUUACAGUGCAUAAUUCUUGUAAGAUGACGUAGUCAAU